rnacentral:rRNA from 1 species
AUUGAACGCUGGCGGAAUGCUUUACACAUGCAAGUCGAACGGCAGCACGGGGCAACCUGGUGGCGAGUGGCGAACGGGUGAGUAAUGCAUCGGAACGUACCUUUCAGUGGGGGAUAACGUAGCGAAAGUUACGCUAAUACCGCAUAUUCUGUGAGCAGGAAAGCAGGGGAUCGCAAGACCUUGCGCUGAUUGAGCGGCCGAAAUCAGAUUAGCUAGUUGGUGAGGUAAAGGCCCACCAAGGCGACGAUCUGUAGCGGGUCUGAGAGGAUGAUCGGCCAGACUGGAUCGGAGACACGGUCCAGACUCCUACGGGAGGCAGCAGUGGGGAAUUUUGGACAAUGGGGGCAGCCCUAAGCCAGCCAUGCCGCGUGAGUGAAGAAGGCCUUCGGGUUGUAAAGCUCUUUCGGCCGGGAAGAAAUCGUAUCAGCUAAUACCUGGUGCGGAUGACGGUACCGGCAUAAGAAGCACCGGCUAACUACGUGCCAGCCGCCGCUGUAAAAC